rnacentral:rRNA from 1 species
UACGAAGGGGGCUAGCGUUGCUCGGAAUCACUGGGCGUAAAGCGCACGUAGGCGGAUUGUUAAGCCAGGGGUGAAAUCCUGGAGCUCAACUCCAGAACUGCCUUUGAUACUGGCGAUCUCGAGUCCGGGAGAGGUGAGUGGAACUGCGAGUGUAGAGGUGAAAUUCGUAGAUAUUGGGAAGAACACCGGUGGCGAAGGCGGCGCUCUGGACCGAGACUGACGCUGAGGCGCGAAGGCGUGGGGAGCAAACAGG